AUUGAACGCUGGCGGCAGGCUUAACACAUGCAAGUCGAGCGGAGAUGAGGUGCUUGCACCUUAUCUUAGCGGCGGACGGGUGAGUAAUGCUGAGGAAUCUGCCUAUUAGUGGGGGACAACAUUCCGAAAGGAAUGCUAAUACCGCAUACGUCCUACGGGAGAAAGCAGGGGAACUUCGGACCUUGCGCUUAAAAAUGAGCCUAGGUCGGAUUAGCUAGUUGGGGGGGUAAAGGCCUACCAAGGUGACGAUCUGUAGCGGGUCUGAGAGGAUGAUCCGCCACACUGGGACUGAGACACGGCCCAGACUCCUACGGGAGGCAGCAGUGGGGAAUAUUGGACAAUGGGGGGAACCCUGAUCCAGCCAUGCCGCGUGUGUGGAGAAGGCCUUAUGGUUGUAAAGCACUUUAAGCGAGGAGGAGGCUACUGAGACUAAUACUCUUGGAUAGUGGACGUUACUCGCAGAAUAAGCACCGGCUAACUCUGUGCCAGCAGCCGCAGUAAAAC
rnacentral:rRNA from 1 species